UCCCAGAGCCUGCAGGUU
rnacentral:miRNA from 1 species